GUUGGUGGGUUUGGGAUAGGGGAGGGUGAGGUAGCGACGGCGGAGGAAGAGGGGUCUAGGUUAGAGCGGCGGCCGGAGUAAGAGGGCGAGCGUGUGCGAGUUCGGCGAGCGGCGGUGGUGCGAGGAGGUGGAGGUCCGCUGCGGCUCGGGCGCCAGAGGGACGGGUUCUAGCACGGCCUCGGGCGCCAGUAGGAGGCGGAUGUCGAGCCGAGGGGAAGGUCUAGCGCGGCGGUGGAGGGAAGGGUGGGGGAGGACCUAGAGAGGGAGCCGCUCGGUGGCCGGACGUCUAGCAGGUGAAGGGUCAAGGGUCACGCACGUACCUGUCCGACUCCUCGCACCACGACGCGUCCACGUUCUCGGACAGCGCCCGCCAGCAGUAGCAGGAGGUCGAGGAUGUCGUUGGAGGCGAGGUACAGGCGGUCCCUGCUGCGGCGGCCGGUUCUGUUGUACCGCCGCCGGCUCCCCCGCAGCCGUCACCACAAGCACCCGUCGAGCGCCGCCGCCGUGCAGUAGUCGCGGUCCGUGGAGGCGGUGGGCGACUAGCGGCGCGAGUAGCUGCUGCUGCGGCCGCUACCGCUGUACUCCUUAUCGUUCCUCGGCCACCGGCACUCCACGCUCCAGCACGACAAGCUGGUGGACGAGACCUACGAACUGUUGCGGCAACUGGAGGCGCGCCCGCGGCCGCCGCUCCUGCUGCGGCAGUCCCUCGACCGGGUCGAGAUGCGGUGCACGAUCGGGUCAAUGUCCGUUGUCGUCUCCUGCUUAAGCCUUAAGCGAACACCCUAGAGUCUUACGAAUUCGUAGGUGAUGACGUACAGACGUGGCUAGACAAGGAUCUAUCACGAGUCCAGCUAGUCACACCAGUUGGCCUUCGUCGGCGUGCUGCCGCUACAGCAGGCCUAGCACUCGUGGUCCUCGUCUGGCGUCGAGCGGCGGUGUAAGGUCACGAUGUUCCUUGUUGUACCGUCACUGUAUCUUCUACAAAUAAUUAAUAGUGGAGAAAAACACAGAUUGAUUAUCAUCGUUAUAUGUCAUAUAGACAGUUCAUAGGCUAAGUGCCUGGUUGACCACUUGACUUCGCGAACAAGAACAACGACGACGACAACAACGUCCUGUACUUCGUCAUGUCGUCGUCGGUCAAACGUUCCUACGAGUUCUAACGACAGACCACGGAGUGUAGAGGACUUUUCGUGAAAAGUCUCCAUGCGGUGCUGUGCGUCUAGUUGGAGUGGGACGCGUGGGCGACCACCGACGUGACGUAGUGCGCGUCGGCGCUCACGCUGCGGUCCGAGCAGCACAGGUACCCCCUUGUCCACUUCACAGGUCGAUACGAAGAGUGACUGAUCAGUGUGACCGUUCAGCUUGCGCGUACCUCUCUGCUGGGAGCAAUGGUGAGACAUGCGACUAGAACUAAACGCUGACCCCACACGUCAUGCAGGCGUCCACGGUGCCUAGACCUCGGACUACAACGACGACUUCUCGUCUCGCUAAUCCGAGGGGGUUUUACUGUAGAUCUCCCGAAAUGAGUAGUCCCCCUCGAUCUACAUACUACAUGCUGUUGCCCUUACCCUGGACCACUCCUUUCCUUGGAUGACCCAGUUGGUCUAGCUCAGGGAAGAGAUGUACAACCAAAACGAGGGAACGUGUCGUCAUUUACGGAGAUGUUUGUACUAUGAUAUAUGUACGUACAGUAUCAGUCGUCAAUCGCAACCGUUACUUCACUUGGUACUCUAAUGUAAAACGAAACAGAACAACUAUUACGGUAUACAGAACGUUAGUCUGAAGUAAAGACAAACAAUACCAUUAUAAAAGUAUCACGAUAUCUUGUAGAUCAUUGUUCUUAUACUUUAACAUUUAUCGUUUUUUAAGAACAGAACACGCCAGAUUCAGGUUCCUUUAUUUUUUUUAAGAGAAUAUGUUAAAGUAGAUGUAGCUUAAAUAUAUAGUAUCACGGAAAAUAAAGAAAUCAAACUAACAAAGGGAACAUAAGUUAUACGAAGAUUACCGACUAGGAAUGUAAAAACUACACCGUAGAAAAAAAGUAUCCACAACACACAAAACAUAUCCUUGUGUUAAAAACAUAAGACAAAACAACAUAAAUACUAAACUAUCAAAACAUAUCCUUGUACACUAUGAUAAAACAUCCCGAAAUACCGGACACUACAUUUGUAUAAAUCACUACUUAAUACUUUAAUAAACGUUUUAAAUAACUUUUCCUCUUAGUAAACAUACUUAUACCCGCCGUAUAUACACUUACCCGACUUUUCACAUGACCUAGUUGAGGUUCUAACUUAAUAAUAAAAUGACAUAUUUUUCCGACUUACAUGUGGUCUUUUACCCGACAUGUUUUACCAUGGGUUUAAGAACUUUCCGGUUUGCACGUAUCUUCAACUACCCGAUUUGUGAUCCCGAACCGGGUACAUCGAUUGUUUUUAAUUGUCUUUAUUUAUAUGAUUUACCCAACUUAACAACCCGAACCGGGUCCAUUUUGUGGAUUAGCCUGCAUGG
rnacentral:rRNA from 1 species